AUUGAACGCUAGCGGCAUGCCUAACACAUGCAAGUCGGACGGAGCGGCGGACGGGUGAGUAAUAUAUGGGAAUCUGCCUGCUGGCGGGGGAUAACUACUGGAAACGGUAGCUAAUACCGCAUACUAUUAGAUGAGCCCAUAUGGGAUUAGCUUGUUGGUGAGGUAACGGCUCACCAAGGCCACGAUCCCUAGCUGGUCUGAGAGGAUGACCAGCCACACUGGGACUGAGACACGGCCCAGACUCCUACGGGAGGCAGCAGUGGGGAAUAGUGGACAAUGGGCGAAAGCCUGAUCCAGCCAUGCCGCGUGUGUGAAGAAGGUCUUCGGAUUGUAAAGCACUUUAAGUAGAGAGGCGGUAUCUACAGAAUAAGCACCGGCUAACUACGUGCCAGCAGCCGCGGUAAUUC
rnacentral:rRNA from 1 species